rnacentral:rRNA from 1 species
UACGUAGGGGGGCUAGCGUUGUCCGGAUUUAUUGGGCGUAAAGAGCGUGUAGGCGGCCAGGUAGGUCCGGUGUGAAAAACUCGAGGCUUAACCUCGAGAUGUCAUCGGAAACCAUCUGGCUAGAGUCCGGAAGAGGAAAGUGGAAUUCCUGGUGUAGCGGUGAAAUGCGCAGAUAUCAGGAAGAACACCAAUGGCGAAAGCAGCUUUCUGGGACGGUACUGACGCUGAGACGCGAAAGCGUGGGGAGCGAACAGG